UGCAAGAUAGUGUAAUUGGUAACAUAUAAGGCUCAUGUCCUUUUGAUAUACGUUCAACUCGUAUUUUUGCAA
rfam:Ashbya gossypii (= Eremothecium gossypii) ATCC 10895 mitochondrion, complete genome.